CGUGCCAGAUAACGCCACUCGCAAAAAAAAAGUGUUUAAGUUCAGUCACAGUGUCUCUAAAGAAAAAAGUUAUAUAUUUAUAAAAAAAUAAAAAUAUUCACUAUUGCUGGCUAGCAUAUAGUAUUCAUCACCAAAUAUGGAAAAGUGUGGAAAACGUGUCGCAAAAGCGAAGCAAAGGCCCUAUUCCAGUAUAGAAAAAACGCCAACGUAGUCUUGCUCGACGUGGGCAAUAUUUGCUCACAAAUUUAAACAAAGAAGCACGAUGAAGAAGUGUAUUAGUCAUCGAUUUGGCCGUCAGCUUCGGGGAAUUUCACAAUGCGGAACGCUGGGAAAGCAGGAAAGGCGCAGUUUCUCGUUUUUGGCUAGAAAGUGACUCUCUAGGCAGGAUGAGGCAAUCCAGGAGGUUCAGGAAACUCUCUCGAAACUGUCCCAGACGGGUGCAAUGGCGGCAGCCCUGACCCACAGUGUACGUGGAUUUGAUAAAUUGGGAUAGGAAGCCAGUUGGGCGUUGAAUGUUGAUACGCAGCGUUUUCGAUCGAUCCAAGUAAAACUCUGUACCCUUCGCGAGCAAAAGGCAGAUGAAGUGCUGAAAAUGCACUUCGGCCGAUGUACGCGUUUGCCGAAAGUUUUGGCUGCGUCCCUGACUCGGCCUUAGUGUCGCUUGUUGGGGUCUGCAGACUGACCAGGGUGCGUCGUUUCUAUCAGAUUGAUUGUGCGGAUUGUGUUAUAGGAACACCGGUGUAUCGACUUCUCUGCUCUACUAAGGGUGAACCAUACAAAGGGCCUUCUGUUGCUUACCCACCAUCGAACAAUACCAAAACCGGGCAGAUAUACGUACAUAUAACUCGGUUCUGACAUCGAUACAUUGAAUCUGUUCACACGUCGUCUUUGGAGUAGCAAUUGAACCAACCAACCAGUCGAAAACAAUCGCAGUUGGUUGCCAACCAUCUUUUCUGUGGCUAAACACUUUGUAGUGAACUCAAAGCGGAAUCAGUUCCACAACAACAAUGUGUUAAGUUCUUAAUUAUUUGAAAUUGUUUACAAUUUUUUGUUUGUUUUUGUACACUCUACGACUUUAUAAUUACUUAUACUGAUGUAAAAUUACUUGUCGAAACAAAACUGAGAAUAAGAAAAUGGAAAAAAAUGCAU